rnacentral:rRNA from 1 species
AUUGAACGCUGGCGGCAUGCUUUACACAUGCAAGUCGAACGGUAACAGGCCUUCGGGUGCUGACGAGUGGCGAACGGGUGAGUAAUGCAUCGGAACGUACCCAGAGGCGGGGGAUAACGCAGCGAAAGCUGUGCUAAUACCGCAUGUGAUCUGAGGAUGAAAGCGGGGGACCGAGCAGCAAUGUUUGGCCUCGCGCCUUUGGAGCGGCCGAUGUCGGAUUAGCUAGUUGGUGGGGUAAAGGCCUACCAAGGCGACGAUCCGUAGCUGGUCUGAGAGGACGACCAGCCACACUGGGACUGAGACACGGCCCAGACUCCUACGGGAGGCAGCAGUGGGGAAUUUUGGACAAUGGGCGCAAGCCUGAUCCAGCAAUGCCGCGUGCGGGAAGAAGGCCUUCGGGUUGUAAACCGCUUUUGGCAGGAACGAAACGGUGUCCGCUAAUACCGGGCGCUAAUGACGGUACCUGCAGAAUAAGCACCGGCUAACUACGUG